UAGAAAGAGCAUGAUGGGCUGUUAUUACACAACAUAGCAGUAUUACAGUUUGUUUAUCUUGACCGUGCCCUUCAGUGAUUGUGCCCUUCUAUGAUUAUGCGCAGAAGCGGUCAGAAGGUAGUCUAGAGACUCAGAUGCGCUCAGAUGCACUUGGCGUUCUAGCGGUAGAAACAGCAGCGUGAGCGUCUCAAUGCAGGGGCAGCAAGAGCACCCCGAUGGCCACCAGCACAAGAGACUGCGCUAAGCAGACGACCAGCGCGCGCUUUCAUCUGUGCUUCUCAACCCCGAACCUCCUCUAGUGAAGAGAGAGGUGCUCAAAUCCGCUUUAGGAUAUCGCUUUUUUUUUGUCCCUCUUUCUGUCCAUUCGAUGAAGAAGAACUGAUGACGAUGUAUCGGCGAUGGUGGAUUUCCCUUUUGUGCGUCUAUGGACUGAUGUGCAUCGUUCAUUCCAGCAAUCAUAUGCCUCGAAAUGGAGACGCCUUGUCGCAGGCGAAGGCUGUUCGUGAUGCGAGCAGGUUCGCGGAGAAGGAGGACACGGUCCCGCUCCGUCUGCUCUACAGCAUGCACAACCACAGUCAAAUCUCCCACGAUGUCAUCAGCACCAGGACUAGAGCCAGUUCCAGCCCCACACAGGUAGCCUACACAGUGGUGGUGUUAUUUAUUAUGGUGACGGUGGCGAUGGAGCUCCGCUAUGUGCAGAGAGACAAAUGCCUUUGGUACGCGUUGCUAUUGGAGACAUCCCGCUAUUCUCAUGUUGUUUAUGUUUUUGUUGAAUCAUCUCCUUUUUACGCAUUUCACAGAUAAUUCGGCAAGAUCAUAUUUUCACCUAUAACAAGCUAGUUCUUUUGACUAGUGGUCUAUGUACAGAAAUAUAGGCUAUUCAUUUUCGCCACAUUUAAAAGCGUAGGCAGUGUCUUUUCAUUGAGCAAAAUAAAGAUAGCCUGGUGGUGUAUUGUGGGGUUUUCUAUGCACAUACAUACACAAAAGACAGUCUCAGGCCUGAUCAGCAAAAGAGCCCAUGCAUGAAACACAUGGGGAUGAAGCCUAUGCAUUAGAAUGAAUAGACAAAUAGGCCUAUAACAUCCAUACAUGUUUAAUUGGGUCAAAUAUUUUGUUUUCGUUAUAUAGUAAGAGAGGUUCUUAUUAUUAUAAAGGUGAGCAGACCUGACAUAAUAUCUUCAGAAUCUAUUGAAUAAUGAUUGGUUUGUGCCCUUACAAUGGAUUCGCCUGUAACCCACAUGGCCCUAUGUCUGAGACACACUGCUUCUUGGAUGGUUAAAGAGAGUCUGCUCUCUAUCUGGUUGGCAUCCUUUACAGUUCACUGUCUGUGUGGUUGCUUUGGCUAUUAAAUUAUCUGUUUGAUAUGAGACCCAGUCUGGAUACUCAGAUACAAUCAUUAGGCUGUCUACCUCUGAAAUGUACACGUUAUAAACAUAAUCAGAUUUUAUUCCACUAUUCCCUCCUUUUAUCUAUAAUCUAGUUGUGUAAUUGAUAUUAAAGUCCCAGUGC